GAUGAACGCUGGCGGCGUGCUUAACACAUGCAAGUCGAACGAUUAACCCUUCUUCGGAAGGUCAUAAAGUGGCGAACGGGUGAGUAACACGUGACCAACCUGCCUCUCACAUUGGGAUAACUUAGAGAAAUCUAAGCUAAUACCAAAUACUCUUGAUCUGCCGCAUGACAGAUCAAGGAAAGCUUUCGCGGUGAGAGAUGGGGUCGCGGCCCAUUAGGUAGUUGGUGGGGUAGAGGCCUACCAAGCCGAUGAUGGGUAGCCGGGUUGAGAGACCGACCGGCCACAUUGGGACUGAGAUACGGCCCAGACUCCUACGGGAGGCAGCAGUGGGGAAUUUUGCGCAAUGGGCGAAAGCCUGACGCAGCAACGCCGCGUGCGGGAUGACGGCCUUCGGGUUGUAAACCGCUUUCAGUGGGAAAGAUAAUGACGGUACCCACACAAGAAGCUCCGGCUAAAUACGUGCCAGCCGCCGCCGUAACAC
rnacentral:rRNA from 1 species